CCAAUAGCGUAUAUUAAAGUUGUUGCAGUUAAAAAGCUCGUAGUUGAAUUUCGGGAUCAGUACGUUGGUCGUGCCUUGGUACGUACUGGCGUUACUGGUUCCUACCUUCUGACGAACCGUCAUGUCAUUAAUUUGGUGUGGCGGGGAAUCAGGACUGUUACUUUGAAAAAAUUAGAGUGUUUAAAGCAGGCUCGCGCUUGAAUACAUUAGCAUGGAAUAAUGAAAUAGGACGUUCGAUCCUAUUUUGUUGGUUUCUAGGAUUGACGUAAUGAUUAAUAGGGAUAGUUGGGGGCAUUAGUAUUCAAUUGUCAGAAGUGAAAUUCUUGGAUUUAUUGAAGACUAACUACUGCGAAAGCAUUUGCCAAGGAUGUUUUCAUUAAUCAAGAACGAAAGUUAGGGGAUCGAAGACGAUCAGAUACCGUCGUAGUCUUAACCAUAAACUAUGCCGACUAGGGAUCGGAUGAUGUUAUUUUUAAUGACUCAUUCGGCGCCUUACG
rnacentral:rRNA from 1 species